rnacentral:rRNA from 1 species
GACGAACGCUGGCGGCGUGCUUAACACAUGCAAGUCGAACGAUGAAGAAGAGCUUGCUCUUCGGAUUAGUGGCGAACGGGUGAGUAACACGUGACUAACCUGCCCCUUUCUCUGGGAUAACGCUCCGAAAGGAGUGCUAAUACCGGAUACUCACAUCGAGGCACAUGCCUUGAUGUGGAAAGUUUUUCGGAAAGGGAUGGAGUCGCGGCCUAUCAGCUUGUUGGUGAGGUAACGGCUCACCAAGGCGACGACGGGUAGCCGGCCUGAGAGGGCGACCGGCCACGCUGGGACUGAGACACGGCCCAGACUCCUACGGGAGGCAGCAGUGGGGAAUAUUGCACAAUGGGCGAAAGCCUGAUGCAGCGACGCCGCGUGAGGGAUGAAGGUCUUCGGAUUGUAAACCUCUUUUAGCAGGGAAGAAGCGAAAGUGACGGUACCUGCAGAAAAAGCACCGGCUAACUACGUGCCAGCCGCCGCAGUAA